UCUACGGGUGGCAGCAGUCGAGAAUCAUUCACAAUGGGGGAAACCCUGAUGGUGCGACGCCGCGUGGGGGAAUGAAGGUCUUCGGAUUGUAAACCCCUGUCAUGUGGGAGCAAAUUAAAAAGAUAGUACCACAAGAGGAAGAGACGGCUAACUAGGUGCCAGCAGCCGCGGUAAUACAGAGGUCUCAAGCGUUGUUCGGAAUCACUGGGCGUAAAGUGUGCGUAGGCUGUUUGUUAAGUCGGGUGUGAAAGGCGCGGGCUCAACCCGCGGACGGCACAUGAUAAUGGGAGACUAGAGUAAUGGAGGGGGAAGCGGAAUUCGCGGUGUAGCGGUGAAAUGCGUAGAUAUCGAGAGGAACACUCGUGGCGAAGGCAGCUUCCUGGACUUUAACUGACGCUGAGGCACGAAGGCCAGGGGAGCGAAAAGGAUUAGAUACCCCGGUAGUC
rnacentral:rRNA from 1 species